AGAGUUUGAUUAUGGCUCAGGAUGAAACGCUAGCGACAGGCUUAACACAUGCAAGUCGAGGGGCAGCAUAGAAGUAGCAAUACUUGGUGGCGACCGGCGCACGGGUGAGUAACGCGUAUGCAACCUACCUAUCAGAGGGGAAUAACCCGGCGAAAGUCGGACUAAUACCGCAUAAAACAGGGGCACCGCAUGGUGAUAUUUGUUAAAGAAAUUCGCUGAUAGAUGGGCAUGCGUUCCAUUAGGUAGUUGGUGAGGUAACGGCUCACCAAGCCGACGAUGGAUAGGGGAACUGAGAGGUUGGUCCCCCACACUGGUACUGAGACACGGACCAGACUCCUACGGGAGGCAGCAGUGAGGAAUAUUGGUCAAUGGGCGGGAGCCUGAACCAGCCAAGUCGCCGUGAAGGAAGAAGGAUCUAUGGUUCGUAAACUUCUUUUGCAGGGGAAUAAAGUGCAGGACGUGUCCUGUUUUGUAUGUACCCUGAGAAUAAGGAUCGGCUAACUCCGUGCCAGCCGCCGC
rnacentral:rRNA from 1 species